UACAGAGGUCUCAAGCGUUGUUCGGAUUCAUUGGGCGUAAAGGGUGCGUAGGCGGCGCGGUAAGUCGGGUGUGAAAUCUUGGAGCUUAACUCCGAAACUGCAUUCGAUACUGCCGUGCUUGAGGACUGGAGAAGAGACUGGAAUUUACGGUGUAGCGGUGAAAUGCGUAGAUAUCGUAAGGAAGACCAGUGGCGAAGGCGGCUCACUGGCCCAUAACUGACGCUGAGGCACGAAAGCGUGGGGAGCAAACAGG
rnacentral:rRNA from 1 species